GGGACCAAUCUCAGUGAAGGGCAGUAAUCUGGCCACCCAAAGACCCUCCAAACAGCCAAGCCAAGCUCCCACAGCAGCCUGUUUUCUAGCGAUGGGAUGAAGAAGAAGAUGGAGGAUUGUUUGGUUCAAAAUCAACUUUGAUAAAAGGCACAGUUCAAAAUGAUUCUGAUGAGGAAAGACAGAGAGAGGAACCUCCUCCACUACCAAAUGAAAGGAAGGUUCCAGUUGGUGGCAUCAAUAUUUUUGGAUCAGCCAUUACAUCUGCCAUUCGUCGCCAGCAGUCAUCUGACUCUGAACAGUCAGAAAAGGAUGGUUCUGACUGGAGUGGUAGUAGGAAGUCCUCCAUUUCUACUCCCAAGCUGACUAAACCUGCAAGCAAGCCAGAAUCACCUAUAGUGCAAACAGCAGCAACAGUAAAAGUUGUACCUCCUGCUUCAGGAGGAAGAGGAGGAGGAGGUGGUGGUGGUGUUGGUGGUGGUGGUCUCUUUGAUUAUGAUGAUGAUGAAGACCUGUUUGGAAGUGUUUUAAAGAAGACCAAAUUACCAGAGAAAACACAAACUGAUAGUAGGGAGGAAAAAUCUGUGCCAGUAGCUGCUACUGCUAAUGCUAGCAUCCAGAAAGGAAUGCCUAAAAGAGGUCUGUUUCUGAUGAUGAUGAUGA